ACAUGCAUGCAGUGUUGUUUGGUCUGUUGCUUUCUGUCAUCCGCUGUUCGUCGACUCCGUUGCUCGGUUCAGGAGUUUUGUUGUGCGAACGACUCGACUGUGGAGCUGCUGUCUGAGUUGUGUAAAUAUUUUCAAGAUGGACGGUCGCGUAUCUCCGUGGCUCUGCUGCUACUGCGAGUGCAAAUACCUUUUCUAGUGUGUUUUUCUGUGUGUGAUGUGAUUUUUGAUUGUACGGUGGCGAAGAAUUUCGGGGUGUGAUUGGUUUCUUGCCGUGAUACGAAACGGAAACUCUGCAGAAAAUUUGUGUCGGAAGUGGGUGCGCGAUUGGGGGACCACACGAUUGACAACCAUUCUUCAAAGCGAAGUGCCGCAGUGUGUAUACGCAACAGAAGGAGGAAAAUUCGGCCGAGCGCAGUUUUUUGGAUUUUCACUCUUCGUUUGGGCGGAAAUCGCACCGCAGGUAACACUGAUAAGAUUGAGACUACAUGUAUGCAUCUGAAUAUGGUGUAUGGAAGAGUAAUGCGAACUAGUGCAGGUAUCAGGUAUCACUAGGUCAGCUCCAGAGGCACGUUCUCCUCCAUUUGGGAAAAUUGUGCCAUCGCCAUGAACACGAGCCUAUUCAUCAUUUACCUGAUGGAGAAGGGAAGGAAAAAGGAUAAAACUGGGGAAAGGACAGGUAACCGCUUUCAAUCAGAUUCCAGCAUGUUCAACAAGGUAGAGAAUAAAAGCACUGGGAUCUUAAUCACUGUCGUUUAUCGGUGGUUCCCUAACUACAAAUCUACCUGUUCAACAAGGGUAAAUUCUUGAAUUUUGGCAUAAAAUUAGCUUGUAAUUACCAGAAAUUGGCGAGAUAAGCUAUUUGAUUCUGAUCCUGAAUUCUCUACAAUUGUAAGUUUUUUGGUCGUUGAACAGGUAAAAAGUGAGGUUACGAGACACCACUGUGUUGUUACGAAACUGUCAAAUAGUUAUAUUUCAGCGAUAGCUUAAUAGACUUCAUUCAAAAGUUAUAUUUGAAUCAUCAAAUUGGGAAUCUCCUGCAGACUAGUGAUACCAAUACAAGUUUUUCGAAGUGAUCUACGGUGUUACCUGUCGAAUGAUACUAUUGUGUUGAAUAGGACAAUUCGUUCGCGAAUGUAUAAACUUAUCUUUUUUACUAUCGGGUUGCCGAAUGCCAAUGUGUUUUUUCUUUAGAGACGAGUGCCCCUUCAGGGUAAAGUUUCUCUAAACAAAAAAAAAUGUGUUUUUGGACGGUACCGCUGUAAGUUUUCCGUGCGUCCCGGAUGUGAAAAAUUUCGUCCCUUGAGUACCGGAAUUCGUACCAUUUGGUGAGCUCGUUCCUGCAUAUCUUUUUCGGUGCCCGAGCAUUGACCAAAUGUAUCCUAAGGCUUUAACCCUACCACUGAUAACUCCCAACUUUCUGUGCUGUCUAUUAGGGAGGCAACAGUCUCUGUUACUCUCUUAAGUAGACACUUAAAUAACUAUCCUUUCCUAAGCACGUGGUCAGGGCAGCUCUCGAACGUUGAAGUAUUGCGUGAAUCUUAUCUUAGAAGAGUCGAGAGAUUGGCCAUAAAUCUCUGUGCUUUGGUAGCAGACGGGAAAGACUGACGGAGCGAUCUAGGACUGUUGUGGCACUUGCUUAAUGCUUUUGCUAAAUUUCGAAAAAAAAAACGCACUUAUAAAUCUUGACAGUACUUUUUUUUGUUCCGUCAUUUUCUAUGAAGUACUUGCUGAAUAUAUUAAUGAUACAGUAGCAUUAGAAGUUCUCAUGUUCUGCAGCCUCCGAAGCAGUCACAAGUUUUGAACUAGGACUGUGCACCGUCAAUCUGUCUAUCAGGGAGGUCAUCCCUGGACCUCGUGAAACUUACUUUGUGUUUUCCGAAUUUAUUGGAUCCUGUACGCCACUCUUUCAUUUACCAGUUAUUACAAAACUUCAAGUUCUACAGAAUCAACAAAGGCUUAUACGAUACAUACAUUUCCGAAAAUAUAUGAUUAUUUUAUGAACACACUCUUGAACAAUCGCUGCAGUAAUCUCAGAACUCUGGUCUGCAAGGCCUACACUCUUAAAAAAUUAGGAAUUUACACGUGACGUAAACCAUCAACGUACGCAAACAUUUCAUGACUGAAUGUCAAAUUUGACUCAAUUUUACAUGAUGUAAGAGCGUAGCCAGAGGGGGGCAGGGGGGGGGCCGUGGAUUUUUUUUAAAUUCAAGCCGACUCAAAGAUUGUCAAUAAUUCAAGUGUUCCAGAAAAAAUAUUUAAAAAAACUAUUCUCUAGACUAUUCUAAUAAUUGGGGUUUUUAUCCACAAUUAUCCAACCUUUUUUUUUUUCUUGAGAAUCACAGGAAAUUUCGCCAAGUAUUUCUCCAAGAGAUCUACUUCAAUCUUAUCAUAGAAUUUAACCAAAUAAAGCUUGGAUGAAUGGUUAAAUUUUGUGAUGUUUAUUCAUGGAACACAAAAACAGCAUGGCAAGUUUCCGGUAGGGAAAAACAAGGACUUUGUAGAACUAGAGUGCAGUUAUAUGCUAUUGCUACACGAAUUUUCACUUGUAUUCAAUUCAAACAAACGUCAUGCUAAGAUAAUAAUACCUGGGAUUUCUUUACAAAUUCUUUCAAGGACAUCUCCAGAAAUUCCUUUAGGCAGUUAUUCAGGAACUUUUCCAAGGAUUCUUUCAGAAAUUUUUCAAGGAACAUAUCCAGGGGUUUCUCUUUCGUGAUUUUUUUCAUGGACAUCUUGCAGGGCUCAGAUAGUUUUUUUAGGGUUUGUUCCAAGAAAUGCUUUAAGAAUUCCCCCCACGAUUCCUUCAGUUUUUCUACAAAUACUUCUGCAAGGAUAUAUCGAUGAAUUCCUUCAGGAAUUUUCCAUAGCUUCCUUCAGUCAUUCUAGCAUGGAUUGCUCCAGAGAGUUUUCAAAGAAUUCCUGUAUGGGUUUCACCAGGCAUUUCUCCGGGAAUUUCUUCUGGGAUAUCUUGAGAAGUUCCUUCAGUGAUUGUUCCAGUGAUUUUUUCGAUAAUUCCUCCAGAAAUUUCCAGGAGUUCCUUAAAUCAUUGUACAAAACAUUCUCCAUCCAAAAAUUCCAACAAUAAUUCGUCCAAAAAAUAUUGCAGACAUGGAUGCCUUCAUUUUUAUUUUCCUACAGAAAUUCUUCCAGGAAUUUGUUAAGAAAGCUUUCCUGGGAUUUCCUAAGGAAUUCAUCAUGGGAUUGCUUCCGGGAUUCCUCCAGAUUUUCCUUCAAGCAUUCCUCCAAGUAUUCGACCGGGAAUAUCUUCUGUGUUUAUUUCAGAAACAACUUCAGGAAUUAUUCAAAAAAAUCCUCCAAGGAUUCCACCAGGAACACUUUUUAGAAUUCCUUCAGAAGAUUCAAAAAAAAUAAUCCAAUACUUCCUCUUGGAACUAUUUAGGAAUUCCCCAGGAUUUCUCCUGGGGUUUCUUCAGGAACUGCUACAGGGAUUCCCCAAGGCGUUCUUCCACGUACUCUUAUUAGUAUUCCUUCAGGAUAUCUCCAAGGAUUCCAUCUGCAAUUUCUUCAGAAAUUUUUACUGCGAAUUCUCCUUGAAUUUCUUCAGAGAUUCCUCUAUGAAUUAUUCCAGGGAUCCUCUGGGAAUUGAAAUGCGUAUAGAUAUUUCUCCAGAAAUUCCUCCAGGAAUUCUUAUAGAGAGUCCUCCAGGAGUAUUUCUAGAGAUUCCUCCGUUAAACUCUACGGGUAUUUUUCUAGGAUAUCCCCCAGGGAUUCCUCCAAAAAUUUCUGCAGGACUUAACUCGGGACUUCCUUCUGUGAUUCUUUCUGAAACAACUUAUUUUGAACAUCCUCCAAAGAUUCUCCCACGAACUCUUUUUAGGGUUCCUCCAGCAAUUCCUCAUUGUAUUUUUAAAGGAUCUUUUCUAGGAAUUGAUUCAGUACUUCCUCCAGGAACUGCUUAGGGAUUCCCUUAGUAAUUCCUCUUGAAAUUUCUUCCGGGUUUCCUUCUGGAGUUUCUUCAGAAACUCUUCUAAGGAUUCCUCCCGAAUUUGUUCAAGAACUCCAUCUGCGAUUUCUUGAGGAAUUAUUUCUGGUAUUCCUAUACGAAUUCCUUAAGAGAUUCAUCCAAAAAUUUCUUCAGGAAUUCCUCUAGGAAUUACUCCAGGAAAUCCUUCAGGGAUUCCUUCAGAAAUUCUUCCAUGAUUUUUUCUAGGAAUACCUUCUGGAUUUUUUCCAGAAAUUCCGCCAAGAAAUCUUUCAGGAUUCCCUCCAGGAAUUGCUACAGGCAUUCCUCCAGGAUUUGCACAAAAAUCUCCUCCAGGAACUUUUCUAGUGAUUUUUCCAGGGAUUUCUUCAGAAAUUCCUCCGGGAAUUUCUCAGGCGAUUUUUUCAGAAAUUUCUCCCAGAGCUCCUCUAGAGAUUCCCCCAGAAAUUCAUCCACAAAUUGUUGAAGGAAUUAUUACAGAGAUUCCUCCUAGAAUUCCUUCAAGGAUUCCGCCAGCAAUUCCCAAAGGAUAACCUCCAGCAAUUCCUCCAGGAUUUUAUUUAGGAAUUUCUCCAAGAAAAUUCUCCAGGAAUUACCCCAAGAAUUUCUUCAGGAAUACCUCCAGCAAUUUCUCUAGGAAUCGAUCCAGGAAUUGCUUCUGGACAUCCUUCAGAAGUUAUGUCAACAAUUUCUCCAGGAUUUUUUCCAGAAAUUCUUCUGGAAAUUUUUUCAGACAUUCUUCCAGAAAAUUCUCCAGGAAUACCCCCAAGAAUUUUUCAAGGAUUCCUCCAGGAAAUCCUUCGAAGAUUCCUCCAGGAAAUCCUGGAGGAAUACCAUCAGCAUUUUUUCAGGGAUUCCCCCAGGAAUUUCUUUACAAAAUGCUUCUAGGAUUCUUCCAAGGAUUUCUUCAGGAAUUCCUUCGAGGAUUUAUCCAAGAAUUCCUCCAGAUAUUCCGCUAGAGAUUCCUCCGGAGUUUUCUUAAGGGAUUUUUUCAGAAAUAGAAAAAUAAUAGAAAAAAAAAUAGAAAUUCAUCCAGUAAUUCUUCCAAAAAUUCUUCUAGAGAUUCCUCCUGAAAUUCCCAAAGGAAUACCUCUAGGAGUUUCUCCAGGAUUUUAUCCAGGAAUUUCUCCAGGAACUUAUCUAGGAGUUACCCUAGGAAUUGCUUCACGAAUUCCCCCCGGAAUUUCUCUAGGAAUUGCACCUGGACAUCUUGCAGAAAUUAUGUCAACAAUUCCUCUAGGUAUUUCUCCGGGAAUUUCUCAUGAGAUUCCAUCAGGAAUUGCUUAAGGGAUUCCUCGAGAGAUUUCUCCAUGGAAUCUCUUCAAGAAAUUCUUUGAAGAUUCCUCCAGGAAAUCCUGCAGAAGUUUCUCCAAGGAUUCUUCCAGGAAAUCCACUAGGGAUUCUUCAGAAAUUCUUCAAGAAUAUUCUCCAGGAAAACCUUCAAGAAUUUUUCAGGGAUUCCUCCAGGAAUUACACCAGGAAUUAAUCAAGGAGCACCAUCAUAAAUUAGGGAUUGCUUCAGAAAUUCUUAAUGGUUUUUUUCUAGGAAUACCUUCUGGAAUUUUUCCAGAAAUUCCACUACGAAAUCUUCCAGUUUUCCCUCCAGGAAUCGCUACAGAUAUUUCUCUAGGAAUUCCGCUAAAACUCGUCCAGGAACUUCUUCAGGGAUUUUUCCAGAGAUUUCUCCAGGUAUUCCUUCAGAGAUGUCUCUUGAAAUCCCUCCGUGAAUUUCUCAGGGGAUUUAGGUUCAGAAAUUUCUCCCAGAGCUUCUCCAUAGAUUCCUCCAGAAAUUCAUCCAGAAGUUGUUGAAGGAAUUCCUCCAGAGAUUCCCUCACGGAUUCCGCCAGCAAUUCCCAAAGGAGAACCUCCAGCAAUUCCUCCAAGAUUUUAUCCAGGAAUAUCUCCAAGAACUAUUCCAGGAAAUUCUUCAGGAAUUACCCCAAGAAUUUCAUCAGGAAUUCCUCCAGAAAUUUCUCUUGGAAUUGAUCCACAUCCUUCAGAAAUUAUGUCAACAAUUUCUCCAGGAAUUUUUCCAGAAAUUCUUCUGGAGAUUUUCUCAGAAAUUCUUCCAGAAAAUUCUCCAGGAAUACCCUCAGGAAUAUUUCAGGGAUUCCUCCAGGGAAUCCUCCAGAGGAUUCUGCCUGGAAAUCCUCUAGGGAUUUCUUCAUAAAUUCUUCCAGGAAAUUCCUGGAGGAAUACCAUCAGUAAUUUUUCGGGGAUUCCCCAGGGACUUCUUCACAAACUGCUUCUAGGAUUCCCCAGAGAUUCCUUCAGGCAUUCUUUCAAGGAUUUAUCCAAGAAUUCCUCCAGAAAUUCCACUAGAAAUUCCUCCAGAAUUUCAGAAACAGAAAAAUAAUAUAAUAGAAAUAGAAUUCUCCCAGAAUUUCUCUAGAAAUUUAUCCAGUAAUUCUUCCGAGAAACAGAAAAAUAAUAGAAUAGAAAUAGAAUUCUCCCAGAAUUUCUCUAGAAAUUUAUCCAGUAAUUCUUCCGAGAAUUUCUCUUAGAGAUUCCUCCUGAAAUUCCCAAAGAAAUGCCUCUAGUAAUUCAUCCAGGUAUUCCAGGAUUUUAUCCAGGAAUUUCUCCAGGAAUAACCCCAGUAAUUUCAUCAAGAACUACCCCAGGAAUUGCUCCUGGACAUCUUUCAGAAAUUAUGUCAGCAAUUCUUCUAGGUAUUUCUCCAGGAAUUUCUCCCGAGAUUUUAUCAGGAAUUGCUUCCUGAUUCCUCCAGAUAUUCCUACAGGGGAUUUCCCUCCUGAAGGGAUUCCUCCAGAGAUUUCUCCAUGAAAAAUCUCUUCAGGAAAUUCUUUGAAGAUUCCUUCAGGAAAUCCUCCAGAAAUUUCUCCAAAGAUUCUUCCAGGAAAUCCUCUAGAGAUUUCUUCAGAAAUUCUUUAAGAAUAUUCUCCAGCAAUUCCUGCAGGAAUUUUUCAGAGAUUCCUCCAGGUAUUCCACCAGGGAUUCCUCCAGAUAUUCUUCCAAGGAUUUCUUCACAAAUUUCUUCAAGGAAACCCCCUGGGAUUCCUUCAGGAAUUCCUUCGAGAAUUUCUCCAGUAACUCCACUUGCAAUUCCACUAGAAAUUCCUCAAGGGGUUCUUUCAAAAAUAGAAAAAUAACAGAAAUAGAAACAGAAAUCUCUCAAAAUUCUUCUGGAGAUUCCUCUAGAUAUUCAUCCAGUAUUUUUUUCAAGAAUUCCUCUAGAGAUUCCUCCAGAAAUUUCCACAGGAAUACCACUAGGAACUCCUCCAUUUAUUCCUCCGGGAUGUUAUCUAGGAAUUUUCCCAGGAAAUUUCUUCCGGAAUACCUCCAAGAAAAAACCCCAGGAAUUUCUUUUGGAAUAUUCCUGGCACCCUUCAGGAAUUAUGCCAGCAAUUCGUACAGGAAUUUCUCCUGGAAAUCGUCUUGGUAUUAUUUCAGGAAAUUCUCUAGGAAUACUUUGAGGAAAUUUUCAGGGAUUCCUCCAGAUAUUCCUCCAGAGAUUCCUCCAGCAAUUACUUCAGGGAUUUCUCCACGAAUUUUUCGAGGGGUAUUUCCAGAGAUUCCACCAGGGAAUCCUCCAGAAAUUCCUCCAAGGGUUCUUUCAGGAAAUCCUCCUGGAAUUUCUCAAGGGAUUUUUUUCAGAAAUUUCUCCAGCAAUUCCUCCCAGAGUUCCUCUGGAGAUUUCAUUAGGAAUUUCUCCCAGAAUUCUCCUAGGGAUUCCAAGAAUUCACCCAAAAAAUUGCUCAAGGAAAUUCUCCAGGAAUUCUUCCAGGAAUUACGCCGGGAAUUUGCUCAGAAGUUUCUACAGGCGUUCCUUCAAGGAUUCCUUCACAAAUUUCUCUAAGAUUUCAUAUAUGAAUUUUUAAAGACAUUUCUUAUGAAAUUUUACUAGGGAUUCCGUCCAGAAUUCCUCCAGGAAUUUCUCCAGAAUUUCCUCCAGGGAAUCCUCCAGAAAUUUAUCUAGGAUUUCCUCAUGAGAUCUCUUCAGAAAUUUCACUAGGUAUCCCUCCCAUAAUUUAUCCAGGAAUUCGUACAGGUUUAUUUUUUGAAAUUUUUACAGGAGUUCCUUCUGGAAUUCAAAAAUUCAAAAAAUUCUGGAGGAAUUUCUCCAGCAAAUAGUAUUGGAAGAUAAGUGGAAGCAUACAGGAACCAGGAAAUUCUAGGUUUAUCCUCAAAAGAGUUCGUAAUUUCCAAAAGAGUUCAGCUAUAAUUUCUGGUGAAUGUUUUGUAGACAUUGACAAAAAAAAUCAGAGCAAAAUAUUGCACGAGUAAAUAAAAAUCCUUAAUCUCCCAGAAAUUGGCCAUCGCUACCAGCACCACGUUGAUUUGUGUAGAUCAGGCGAGUUUUUGUUAACGUAUUUUACAAAAUACGACAGGGUUAAGGGUUAAAUAAAGCUUUUAGAAUAUAAUGUUAUUCAAUUUCAUCGUGUUGCGUUUAGUAAUAAAAGCUAGUAGGUACAUUUUUACUGAGGGUGCUUGCCCCCCCCUGACCGAAAAGCUGGCUACGCCCUUGUUACAUCCAUCAUGUAAGUUCGAGUUGUCAACAAACCUAUCUGACCAGAUAGGUAGAAACAGUUUUACAUUUAUCGUUUGUUUCGCAACUCGGUGAUACAGCCGAGAGGUAUAGUACGUGCCUCUCAAUCAGCGGACCAGAGUUCGAAUCCAGCUCAUUAUUUUACUUACAUAUGUUUCAUCUCUCAAAUUUAUAUGAUUUUUUUUAAGAGUGUACCGAAUCUACAGUGACGAAAAUAAAUAUUCUGUCAAUUGUCUGUAUUCGUGUGGAUUCGAUAAUACUUCAAAUUCUUCAAUAUAAUUUCUACGUAUCCUUUCAGGACGCACGCCUGUUGGAUCCUAAAACUGCACCGCGCUUGCACUGAAUACGUCGAACGAGGUAGUGUUGUACUUUUUACUCGAUUAUCCGGUGAUUUGAAAAAAAGCUUACCACUAUAGAUUUUUUUUAUUCUUCAAUUACUUAACCUAAUUUACAGCUCUAUUGUCCACUAGGGCACUGCGUGAGCGAUUCCAAUUGGAAGCUGUACAUACACUUUGUACAGCGCCUAAAUGUAUUCUUUUGCUUAUUGUACUACAUCGAAUUGGUUGCCGUUGCGCUGCUUUCACUAUCUACCCUAUCAUGGUAGAAUGAUGAACACGAGAAUGUUGAUGUGUGGCUGUUGGUUGUUACUGUUUCCAGUCCGAUUGUGGGUCCAUUAUGGGUUGCCGUUCGCCGAUGUUCAAGUAUCCGGGUUCAUUUGAGCCAUGGGCUCAGAAGAGGGUCACUGUCAGCUAAUCUCAGGGGGAGAGAGCAACUGAAGAAAGUGCCGGGGCUGGGAUCGAACCCAUGACCAUCUGCUUAUGAAGCAAACGUGUAGCCACUACGCCACGGGCCCCGGCAACGUGGAUAUUUAGCCGGUUGUUAUUCGUAUUCUUUUAGCGUUUCGUGUUAGGAUAACUUAUAUUGUGUAAUCCUACUGUAAAUUCCUCCAAACAUUUCUUCAUACUUCAAAAAAUCCAUUUAGGGAUUUCUCCUAGAAUUCUUUUUGGUGAUAUUUUCACGAAUGCCUUCUGCGGAUUCUUUCAGAUUGCUUAAUGGAUUUAUUCCUGGAAUUUUUUCAGAGAAUCCAUCAGAAGCUCUUUCAUUACUACAAAGAUUUUACGAUAAUUUCUUCUGGGAAUUAAUCCUGGUAUCUGUCCGGCGAAUUCUGGAGGAUGAGCUGAAGGAACUAUAGGAGACAACUCAGAAGAAACUGAUGAUACCCAGCAGGAACUCCUGGAGGAUUUCCAGUAGAAACUCCUUCAAGAUUACAAGGAGGAAUUCCCUGAGGAUUCCUAGAAAAACACCCGGAAGAUUCCCCUGGGGGAUUCCCAUACUCGAAAUAAAUUUAUGUUGGAUUCCCAUAAGAAACUUCUGAAUGAUUUUCAGAAGGUGAUUCUAGAAAAUUCACUUAAAGAACUCGAGGGCACUCAAAAGGAACUCCUACAGAAUUUCCAGAAGGAACUCCGUUAAUAAUCUUAGAAGGAUCCUUUCAAGGUUUACCAUAAGGAACUCCCUGAGAAUUCCUAUUAGAAACUCCUAGAGGAUUCCCAUAAAAAAACUUUUGGAGGCUUUCCAGAAGGAAAUUCUGGUGGAUUUUGAAGCAUUCCCAGAUGAAACUUUUGAAGAAUAUCCAAUAGGAAAUUCUGAAGUAUUAUAAAAACGACUCAGAAAAGAACCCAGCAGAUGCAGUGGAAGGAAUUCAAAAUUAAAGUCAAGGACGAAUUCCAGAAGAAACUUCUGCAGACAAUCCUGAAGGAAUCCCAGAAGGAGUUCUUGGAGAAAUUACUGGACGAAAUCCAUGAAGAAUCCCAAAAGAAACUCCUAAUUGAAUCCCAGAAAACAUUUUGGAUGAAUCCCAGGAAGAUUUUUAAGAAAAUCCCAAAAGGAAUUUCCAGAGAAAUCUCAGAAGAAUUUUUUGAAGAAUAAAAAUAAAAAUAAAAAAAAACAUCCUGGAGGAAUUUCAAAAGUAACGUUUUGGCGAAUCUCAGAAGAUAAUCCGGAAGGCAUUUCAAGAGGAUCUUCUGUGAAAAUCCCAUUAUGUGUUUAGGUAGUAUCGAUUCCCGGUAGGAUUCCUGAAAAGAUAUCCGGAGAAACUUUAAGAGGAAAUUAUUAAAGGACAUCUGGGUUAAUUCUAGAAAGAAUUCCUUAGGAAAUGCUAGAAGGUAGUCCCAUAGAAAACCCAGGGUUUAUGAACUAGUUUAGUUAUCUAAACGAGUCUAGUAGUAGUUCUUGGAGAAUUCCAAGAGAAUACAAAGAAAAUCCCAUUAGUUUUCUUAAAUGUGGCUCAGAGCAAACUCCUAAAGGAAGAAAACAGUGAAAAACUCCUGGAAAAACCGAAGAUUUUUUUUUGGAAAUCCUAGAGGAUUAUCUGCAAAAACCAUAGAAUAAACUUCUUAAGAAAUUCGAAUGAGUGUGAUAAGUUUUAUACGUAUUCUGCCCUCUAAUGCUUAUCCUUUGACAGAUACGCGUAUCUCAACUACCACCUGUAAUCUUUCUCAAUGUCAGUUAUCCACUACUGGAUGCAACCACUACUGGAUCUAACCACUACUGGAUAACUGACACUGAGGAAGAUUACAAGUGAUACUUACUCUAAAUACGCGUAUCCGUCAAAGGAUAAGCUCAAGAGGGUGGAAUUAAAAAGUACAAAACUGAUUACACUCAUGCGAAAAGAGUAUUCUGCUUAGAGAACAUCGUCCUGUAGAUGGGCAACAUCGAGUCGGCCAUAUACAGUGACCCCACAAUUUAUGAAUCGGCAAAAAUGACCACAGUUUAUGGUAUGGAUCACUCCAUUUGAUCAACAUGGUGAUUCAUAAUUAGUGUACAAAAAUUAAGGUGAUUCAUCGGUGUGGGGUCACUGUACCGUUUUUUGAAAGCACGCUCCUGAGCUGAGAGAACAGUAUGUGAGUGUAGCUCUUUGCAAGUGAGUGUUCCCAUCUUUGCCAGUAGGAUCCGAUGAGAUUUUCUAACGGUAUACAAAACUGAGAGGAAGGCUUUGUCCCAACUCUAUUGGGAUUUUAUUUCAAGAAGAAGAUUACUCCCGGUAUUUUUUUUUUAUUCCUGUUCGGGUUUGUCACUGCGACCAGUUUUUAGAUCUAUUGUGACAUUACCCGUAUCCUUAGUGUAGUGCAUGUCGCAUUACUCAAUUGCCAUUGAGGGGCAAUAAAGUAUUGAUUUUGAUACAGUUUUUGUUUUGUUUUCUUAGAAAACAAAACAAGAGUACUGAUAUUGGCCAUGCAUCGGAAACCUAGCAUCACCCUUGUUUUACUGCUAAAUUCUCCCCAGUAGGAAGUUUAGGACCCGGGUUUUAACAUUAGCAGCAAUAUCAUUUCAAUAAUGGAACAUGUGUUCAGUAAUAAGGAUUCUAGUAUGUUCCUUGCGUACUAGCACUUUCCAGUUUUCGAAGAGUUAGUACAUACAUGGAUCCCUAACCCAAUUUGAUUUCCUUUGCAUUGAGUUUAGCCUCAGAUGGUGAGGUUUUUAACUAUAUGCAAAAUACAGUUGGUAAACUCAGUUUUAUUCAAAAACUGGAAGUCACCAAAACACCAGUAGUAGGACUAAAUGCUAUAACUCCUUGAAUUACAAGAACACAUAUUCCAAAAUUGAAAAAUAGGACGACACUAGAUUUCGGUUUGGUAGAUCUAUCACCGCAACGCAACCCAAAAAGGCGAUCUACCCGCGCUACGGGCUCCGUUAAAGAUCGAGCAUCUUUUAAACCCCCUCAACCAUUCAUCCCUCAGCACGGGUCGCCUGACACCUUGGAUUGGGGUUACCUGUUUGGUGGACUUUUACCCCCGGAACAGGUGGUCCGUAGUGCUAUUCUAAGCCAGCAGCUACACGGGCAUACUCCCGGUAUAGUCAAUGCCCUAUUUGUUAUGAAACUAAUACUAGCCUAGCCGAAAGAUAGUAAACGAAUAGUAUGAAACGGGCUCACCAAUUUCUAAUACAGCCCGGAUUCGCUGAUUGGGUCAUGACUGUACCCCGAUUAGUGAACCGUGUUCGUUCGUUGGGCUACUGACAACUGCUCAGAAUGCUCAAGAUACAGGCAACUGAUAAGAAAUACGUCACGAACCACUAGGGGUACUCACUAAACAGAUUAAAUUGCUGCGUAAACCAUGAUUUUCUGCGUAUUUGAAAUUUUUCAUGAUUUUGCGAAUGAAAUAAUCAAAGAUUGCCUUGGGUGAUCGCGAAAUUUAAUCAGUUUACGCUGUUUAGUGAAUCCCCCUACUAACAUACUUGCGCAGACGUUCUAUAUAUAGGAUCUGCGGUGCGAUGGCGGACACACGUCAAACUCCUUUUGACUUCGAUUUUGACAUUGACAGUGCUUCUUGAUUGGGUUCUGCCACAACCAGUGGACAUUCAACCAUCGAGACAGCCCUUGUAACGAGCCCCCAACGAACCAAUCGGCACUGUAAAAGAUUGUCUAUAAACGCUAAUAAAAUUUGGUUAGGGUUUGCUGAACACGUCUGUAAUUGAGUGUGAACUCUGUGAGUAAAAAUGCGAAAAAUUACUCCUUAUUCAUUUCGCAUUGGAAUGCUCCCUGCCCAAGGGCAUCCGUUGUUGCUGCGUAUGUUUUUCAGACUUGUUGAUGAUGCAGCGCUCCCAAUAAAAACGACAAUUUCCACUUUCUUCAAAUACCUUACUUAAACGAUUUCAAUUGCAUUUUUAAAUUGAAGUAUCCAUCCACAAUUUGAAGAGCGCACUUGGGUUGGCAUCUGACACGAUAUACAUACAUAGCUUCUACCAUACCACAUGCGAUGGACUCCUCUCACGAAACCAGUAGAUCUUACCGAAUGCAUAUCACGCAACGACGGACGGCGGCGGCGGCGGCGACGACGGCGACAACGAAAACAUUCGCCGGAUGCCGUUUCUUCAAUUCGGUUGGAUCUCUCAUCCACAUGCUAGCCCGCUAGCCGUGGUAUUGAACAACGCACUGCACUGUGCGCUACUGCACUCUAUCACUCGCGACGCGAGAUUUGCCUGUGCGGCGCGCGGCAAGUGCAGCAGUUGAAGUAAACAGACAAUCACCACAAUAAUGCCCGCUGCUGCUGCUGCUGCACUGCUCUCCCUCUCGUUUGGGGUGGUUGGGACGUUGUUGGAUCUUGGAUCGAAACGGUGGUGAUCUCAUUUGUGUCGAGUGUCCGUCCGUCUGUCUGCCGGCGCGCCGCGCAGUUGUAUGCGCAUCCAAUUCAUUGAGUAAUGAUGAUCGUUCAGGAUUUGGGAAGGUUGAUUUGGUCCACGUUGGCGGAUGGGCAUUGGGCAUGAUGUUGCGGUUCGAAACUGCAAAAACAAUGCAUUUUAAUUAGCUUAGAAAUUGUGUUUGUUUUGAUUGAUCUUAAAAGUUUGUACAAUUAGGCUCAGUGUACCAGUUAUGGCUAUAGUACAUCAAAUUCGCCAUAGUCAAUUUUCAACCUUUAAUGAUGCAAAUCAACAUGAAAAAAAUGUGAACAGCAGAUCACGUUCACAAAAGAUGGUUGCAAUCAUUCAAACUUCACAAUUAGCUCAAAUUAUGAUAGAAAUAAAUCAUUUUCCUUAAAUUUUAGGCUUCCUUGCACCCUAUUUCGCCAUAGUGUACCAGUUAUGGAUAAUCCCAUAAGGAAUGCAUGUAAAUAGUGCGAAGUGGAACACAAAUUAGCAAAUGUGUCCAUAACUGGUACAGGGUUCCUAUCAUUGGCACACGCCGUAAUAAAUACUAAAAGUAAUUUUGGGCCCGUUUCUAUAUUUUUCCUGUAAAGUAUGAAAACUAAUCAAUCAUUUGACAUAUCGAUGACAUUCGACGGUCUUCUUCUUAUUUUUGUAGAAAUAGUUUUCACCCUACAUAUGUUCAAAAUUGCUAAAACUCUUGGGAUUCGUUUUGAGUAGAGGAUUGUUACUGUUAUAAAUGCAUAGCCGGUACCAAUAAAAACACUAAAUCGUUAAUUAAUAAAAAAAACGCCUGUUAUUCGAACGAAAAAACAGUACAGCUUUCUUGGGAAACCACCUCGGUCAUUGUCGCGUCGUCUGAGAAUGAGGAACGAAAACGGACGUGGUAAAAUGCACCAUGUACCAGCGAGCAGACGGGUAAUUGUAUCCUUCCGGUAAUUUUCGCUCGAUCACCUAAAACGAAACUGAAGCGUGUGAACGCUUGUACGCAAUCGGGGUGUGCUAUUGAUACAAACAGGCACAGGGGUUUUCCGAUUUUUUGCGGCCCGUUUUUUCACGUUUUGUGUGAUAGCAAGUUGGUGAAACUGUUAUCCGCUCAGUUCAACCAUCUAACAGCAAAGAUUUUGUUCGUGACGCAUUAUCAUCAAUCCGAUUUAGUGCUGUGACCGCAACAUUUUGAUCUGCGAAGCAGAAACCUGUCCGAAUUUCAUAAAACUCUUGCCUAUUAGCAGAUCUGGCUCGUUAUAAAGAUCAUUUUCAGCACAAAACACAAAAAAAUGUCAUUUUUUGACACGAUGUUUUUCAAUAAUUAAAAAAUAAUUUGAACAAGAAUUUAUUCAUGUGCUGGAUUUCGUGAAUCAUUUACUUUUGCAUCAAUACAUAACCAUUUCUCCUCACCUAACUAUUAGAAACAUUACUAAUAGAAACUACAAAAACAAAGCAGCUCUAUGGUUAGUAAUAGAAGCUACAGCUGUGUUCAUAAAAAUAGCAGUGAAAGCCGUUUUACAUACAAAUUGGCCAAAUUUGACUUGAUAUAACUUUGUUCUUAUAUGAGCGAUUGAGCUGAAAAUUUGACAGCGAACUACAAAUAUAGUGAAGAUUGUUAUAGCAAAAUCUGUGAAUUUUCGGAGAAUGUGAAAGAAAGUUAAACACUGUGAAAUUGAUCAAAAUAACAGCAUUGUUUGUUUUGAUUUCUUUUAUUCAGCAAAAAUUUUUAAAAUUCUCAGCCUUGUACAUUAUUUUGUAACCAAGGCGGAAACUGUUCGAAUUGCGUGCGGAAAAAUUUCUUGCCUCGUCAAAGUAAAGUUACAUUUCAAUUUAUUUACACUGCUAUUAUUUUGAUCAAUUUCACAUAGUGUUUUACUUUUUCCCACGUGCUUCGAAAAUUCUCAGAUUUCGCUACAAAAAUAUUAACAAUGUUUGUAGUUCGCUGUCAAAUUUUCCGCUCAAUCGCUCAUAGGAGAACAAAGUUACAGCAUGUCAAAGUUGGUCAUUUUGUAUGGAAAGCGGCUUUCACUGCUAUUUUUAUGAACACAGCUGUAUAUCAUUUAAUAUAGAAACGAGAGGACUUGGAAGUUUAGAAGAACUGUAAUAACGAAUUAGAAUAGCUCGAUUCAAUAGUAAAGGAAUUUUUAGAAGACAGUUUAAAAAUUUCCUUGGCAAAUUUUAAGAUUAUUGUAAGGUUUUUAAAUUGAAAAAAAAAAUAAAUAAAACGAAAAAAAAAACUAUACUUUAGUUUCCUUAUUUCCCGUUUAAAAAAACGAUGACAAAUAAAAAUUCUAGAAAAACAGUUAGUAGCAACAGCCCAGGAUGAUGGGUUAUUUGGCAAAUUUUGAGGCUGAAAGUCAGCCACAGAAAAAUAAUUAAAAAAAAUCUAGUGGUAAAGUUUUCGGAAAAUUUAAUUUCUAUGACAUCAACAUAGAUUUGCGAUAAAUAUUACUCUCAGUGUAUUUUUUCUCCUUCAAAGUCCUUCAAAUAUCCUCAAACAUCUUCGAAGACAUUUUUUUACACCCUAUACUUUUGAAAAGCUAUGUAAGUAUGUAUGCAAAACAAAUACAGGUGGACAUUACAAUUUUCAAAAUGUCUAUAAAAUAGAAUUUUACAUAAAAUCGAGGCAUUUUUUUAAUUUUAUUUUAAUUGUAUACCAAAAUGCACCAAAACCAAUGAAAACUGAGUUUUCGGUAAAAGGCUCGAUGUUUUUGGCAUAGGGUGACGAUGCGGGUUUUUGUCGGCCAAAUUUCCUGAAACUUGGUCGUAUAAUUCAGCUUGGUUGGGAAGGAUUUGAUCUUGUACCGACUAUUCGAACCCUCUAAGCAGAAUACUCUCUUCGAAUGAGUGUAAUCAGUUUCGUACCUUUUAAUUCCGCCCUAUGUUGCUUAUCCUUUGACAGAUACGCGUAUU